AAAGGAGUUUAUUCAGGCCAGUAUGAAAGAUGAUCCUCUAUCGCAGAACAAUUUUAACCCAUUCCAUCUUGUAGAGAAUAAAAAAAUAUUGAAGAAUCGCGAGAGAAACUCCCCAAAAUCCACUGGGAUCACAUCGAAAAGUGCAAAUAAAAAUUGCCAAAAAAUGAGAAACAUUCCGUCGCCAUUUGCAAUUUUUGUCGCUCAAAAUGUUUCAAAACAUUCUCUGUCACUUUUGUUGCGCUUAUGGCGCUGAGUUUUUUUUUUCAUAAAAUCAAUGAAAAUUGCCGAUUUUGGUGAUAAAUGUUUAUUGUUUCCGUGUGGGAGUGAUUUUUAAGGAUUUGUAGGCAUCUCAAUCAGGUACAUCGUGCUGGAUGAGCCCCAAUUUGGCGCUGGGUCUGUGAACCUUCCUCAGCUGCUUCACUAGAAUCCUCUUUUCGCUGGUGCUGCAUUCACUCAUUCAUACACGACAUUUGCGUCCUUUUGCAAAGAUACGGAAGAUAAUGGAACCCCUUCCAGGCAAUGAAUCUCAAGAAGAGGAAAAGUAAUAAAGGGGUUUUUCACUUCUUCCACACGGCUGUCUAAUCGUUGCAAGGAGCAGUUUUCGUGGAAAGUAGCGAGACUCCCACGAGGGCACACUUUGACUGACAUUCAAGAUUCGUUGAAUUAGGAAUUAAUUUUAACCCAAAAAGCCGUACAUUGAUGACAAAGUCCACAACACAACUCCCCUUGUGGUGCUCAACAGCUUCUCCGGUUAAGGGAAGCACCUGAAGCUUAUGACACAGAUGCCGCAAUAUAUCUUUUCACUCCCGUAGACCCAAAACGUCCACCAAAGUCCAGGAAACGCCCUGCUUUUGAACCCAUAUCUAGGGGAAAACACUCCAAGAAAAGAAAACUCUACGAAGGGAAGCCCGGAAUGACCGAAAUGAAGCAAAAAAACAUUCAAAACUUUAUCCGGGAAGACAGGAAAGAGUUGAAAAGUUAAGAAGUCCAAGAAGUCCCGUAAAUAACUUUAUUUU